rnacentral:rRNA from 1 species
CGCUUUCCGUCCAGACGUAAUACAUGCAAGUCGAGCGGACAGAUGGGAGCUUGCUCCCUGAUGUUAGCGGCGGACGGGUGAGUAACACGUGGGUAACCUGCCUGUAAGACUGGGAUAACUCCGGGAAACCGGGGCUAAUACCGGAUGGUUGUUUGAACCGCAUGGUUCAAACAUAAAAGGUGGCUUCGGCUACCACUUACAGAUGGACCCGCGGCGCAUUAGCUAGUUGGUGAGGUAACGGCUCACCAAGGCAACGAUGCGUAGCCGACCUGAGAGGGUGAUCGGCCACACUGGGACUGAGACACGGCCCAGACUCCUACGGGAGGCAGCAGUAGGGAAUCUUCCGCAAUGGACGAAAGUCUGACGGAGCAACGCCGCGUGAGUGAUGAAGGUUUUCGGAUCGUAAAGCUCUGUUGUUAGGGAAGAACAAGUACCGUUCGAAUAGGGCGGUACCUUGACGGUACCUAACCAGAAAAGCCACGGCUAACUACGUGCCAGCAGCCCGCGGUAAUACGUAGGGGGGCAAGCGUUGUCCGAAUUAUUUGGGC